UCUUCUUGAAAUUUAAUUGGAAGUCGAAUCUGUCCMCUGGGUAUAGCUUGAAGGACCGCGGUAUAUUGACCGUGCAAAGGUAGCAUAAUCAUUAGUUUUUUAAUUGAAAACUGGAAUGAAUGAUUUGACGAAAUAAUUAGUGUCUCUGGAUAUAAUUAAUUGAAUUUUACUUUUAAGUUAAAAGGCUUAAAUAUUAAUAAGGGACGAUAAGACCCUAUAGAUCUUUAUAAUAAUUUUAUUAUUAUUGUUUUAGUUGUCUUAUAUUAUAUUUUAUUAAUUUUAUUAUUUUGUUGGGGUAAUAUGAGAAUAUAAUAACUUCUUAAUUUUUAACUUUGAUAAUUGAAUUUAUGAUCCUUUAAUAUAUGGAAUAGAGAUUAAGAUACCUUAGGGAUAACAGCGUAAUCUUAUUGGAGAGUUCUUAUUGAUAAUAAGGAUUGCGACCUCGAUGUUGGAUUAAGAAUAUAUGUUAGUGUAGGUGCUAUUUAUUAUUGGUCUGUUC
rnacentral:rRNA from 1 species